rnacentral:tRNA from 1 species
GGGGUCGUAGCUCAGUUGGUUAGAGCGCUGCUCUGUCACGGCAGAGGCCGCGGGUUCGAGUCCCGUCGACCCCGCCA